rnacentral:rRNA from 1 species
ACGGAAGGCAGCAGUGAGGAAUAUUGGUCAAUGGGCGGAAGCCUGAACCAGCCAAGUCGCGUGAAGGAUGAAGGUAUUAUGUAUUGUAAACUUCUUUAGCAGCAGAGUAAUAAGGGGGUCGUGACCCCCGAUGCACGUAUGCUGAAAAUAAGGAUCGGCUAACUCCGUGCCAGCAGCCGCGGUAAUACGGAGGAUCCGAGCGUUAUCCGGAUUUAUUGGGUUUAAAGGGUGCGCAGGCGGUUUUUUAAGUCAGUGGUUAAAUCGUGAGGCUCAACCUCAUCACGCCAUUGAUACUGGAAGACUUGAUUGCGGUUGAGGUUGGCGGAAUUCGUCGUGUAGCGGUGAAAUGCAUAGAUAUGACGAAGAACACCGAUUGCGUAGGCAGCUGACCAAGCCGUAAAUGACGCUCAUGCACGAAAGUGCGGGGAUCGAACAGGAUUAGAUACCCUGGUA